rnacentral:rRNA from 1 species
AACGAACGCUGGCGGCAGGCCUAACACAUGCAAGUCGAGCACCCGGAUUUAUCCGGGAGCGGCGCACGGGUGAGUAACGCGUGGGAACAUGCCCUGAAGUACGGAACAACCUGGGGAAACCUUGGCUAAUACCGUAUACGCCCUGAGGGGAAAGAUUUAUCGCUUUGGGAUUGGCCCGCGGUGGAUUAGCUGGUUGGUGUGGUAACGGCGCACCAAGGCGACGAUCCAUAACUGGUCUGAGAGGAUGACCAGUCACACUGGGACUGAGACACGGCCCAGACUCCUACGGGAGGCAGCAGUGGGGAAUAUUGGACAAUGGGCGCAAGCCUGAUCCAGCCAUGCCGCGUGAGUGAUGAAGGCCCUAGGGUUGUAAAGCUCUUUUGUGCGGGAAGAUAGUGACGGUACCGCAAGAAUAAGCCCCGGCUAACUUCGUGCCAGCCGCCGCGGUAA